GACGAACGCUGGCGGCGUGCCUAAUACAUGCAAGUCGAACGCACUCUCGUUUAGAUUGAAGGAGCUUGCUCCUGAUUGAUAAACAUUUGAGUGAGUGGCGGACGGGUGAGUAACACGUGGGUAACCUGCCCUAAAGUGGGGGAUAACAUUUGGAAACAGAUGCUAAUACCGCAUAAAACCUAAACACCGCAUGGUGUAGGGUUGAAAGAUGGUUUCGGCUAUCACUUUAGGAUGGACCCGCGGUGCAUUAGUUAGUUGGUGAGGUAAAGGCUCACCAAGACCGUGAUGCAUAGCCGACCUGAGAGGGUAAUCGGCCACACUGGGACUGAGACACGGCCCAGACUCCUACGGGAGGCAGCAGUAGGGAAUCUUCCACAAUGGACGAAAGUCUGAUGGAGCAACGCCGCGUGAGUGAAGAAGGUUUCGGAUCGUAAACUCUGUUGUUGGAGAAGAAUGUAUCUGAUAGUAACUGAUCAGGUAGUGACGGUAUCC
rnacentral:rRNA from 1 species